AUGAAGCUCAUCUGCGACUUCCCGUCGCCAAAGUCCCUGCCGGACAAGUACGUGUUGCCGCCGGAGAAACGCCCUUGCAACCACGAGCUACAAGGCGACCUCUCAGUCGCUCUCCCCGUCAUCGACCUCCAAGGAGCUCUUGGAGAUGGCCGGCGACAGGUCAUUGGCGAGAUAAUGGAGGCCGGCAAGGAGUUUGGCUUCUUCCAGGCGGUGAACCACGGUGUGGGGGAAGACGUGAUCCAGGGCUUCCGGGAAGCGGCGGCAGAGUUCUUCAGGAUGCCGGCGGAGGCAAAACUCAAGCACUACUCCAACGAGCACAACAAGCAUUGCCGGGUCUUCUCCGGCUCCGUCACGUCCCACACUGACACCAACGACAUCCGCUACUGGCGCGACUGUCUCAAGCUCCGGUGCUACCCGGUCGACAAGCUGAUGCACCAUUGGCCAUCACAGCCAGAAACAUUUCGGGAGCGUCUUGCCAAGUACGCCGUGGCAGUGCAAGAGCUGGCACAAAGGCUCCUGCGACUCAUCGCGGAGGGGCUCGGCUUGGACAGUCGAUUCUUCGAGGGCGACCUCACCGGCGGGGAGACGAUGAUGAACGUGAACUACUACCCGCGAUGCCCCGACCCGAGCCUCACGCUGGGCAUCCGGCCGCAUUCGGACCGCUACAUCCUCACGGUCCUGUCACAGGGCGACGUCAGUGGUUUACAGGUGAAGCACAAGGGACGCUGGAUCGGUGUCCAACCCAUGCACAACGCGUUUGUUGUCAACUUUGGGCUUCAGCUGGAGAUGGUGACCGACGGGGUGCUCACAAGCGUGGAGCACCGGGUGGUGACCAACUCGGCCAAGGCGAGGAUGUCGGUGGCAACGCUUAUCAGGCCGAAUAUGGGCUCCAGGAUUGGUCCGGCGCCGGUGAUGGUGAAUGGAGAGACCAACCAUCGUCCUAAGUAUAGGGACUUCACGGGGAGCGAGCUCAUCGAGGCGUAUGAGGCCACUGCGGGAAAUAGGGAGGCCCUGCUUGAAAUGUUCAGGAUCCAUCACGCCAAGUAG
rnacentral:rRNA from 1 species